rnacentral:lncRNA from 1 species
AAGCUGGGAAAGGAGAGGCCAAAGAGCUACUGACUGUUGACCAUGCAAGUAUCACCUAAAUUCUUCUAUUUCAUGGCUCCUGUAUCUCCAGGAGAAGUCUUCUCAAAGAAAUAUCCAUGAAAUCCAUGGGCAUUGUGAAGCCAUCUUUCUCCAUUACCCAAACAUUCAGCAUCUACUGUUCCUUGGCAGAUUUCACAAAGGGCUGCACACCAGGAGACGAAAAGAAGAGUGGGGACCAUGCUUCCUGGAACUACCUCUACUGUGUGCCAGGGUGAUCCCACAUGAAUGCUCUUACUGCUGGAACCUCUACUAUCGAGUCACAAUAUCAGAAGGACCCAAAUAUUCAUUAUUUCUUCAUAGGAACCAGGUGGUGACAAGGAAAGAGAAAUUGGGCUUGAGAACAUCACUGGUAAACUGGCUACAUAAAUGGAAAACAGUCCUCCCAGGCUUCAAGGGGAGUUCUCUUCAAUCAGCACUGUGGGAUUCAGAAAAGAGCUUUGUACUUUCUUAAUGGAAACCAUCGGUGACAUUAGCAACUUCAAUCAUGUGUUUCCUCUGCCUCCCUCUUUCUAGAUGGAAGAGUCCAAGCCUUCCAACCUAUCUUCAGAGGGUAGAUCCCCAGCCUCCUGAGCAUCUCACUUCUGUUCUCUAGACAACUACACUGAAUUGGGGGUAUAGAAUUCAGAGGCAGUUUAAGUGGUUUUCCCCAGCUUUAUGCUUUUUCCACCAUACUUUUCUUCCUAAGUAAAACUUUAGUUCUAAUUAUGGAAUAAUUUGAGUGGCUCUUUUUUAUUUCUCCCCAAACCCUUGAUUUCUCCUUGAAUCUCAUUUGUGUCUGUCAGUCGGUUGACAUUUCCUUAGAAUCCAAGUCUGUGCUUGGUAAAUUUUGCCAAUUUCUCAGAAUUGUCUUACUUUUCAGAGCUUUCUCUUUAUUUUAUCCUUUUACAGUUCCU